rnacentral:rRNA from 1 species
GGUUUAAAGGGUCCGCAGGCUGUUUGUUAAGUCAGAGGUGAAAUCCUACCGCUCAACGGUAGAACUGCCUUUGAUACUGGCAAACUUGAGUUAUUGUGAAGUAGUUAGAAUGUGUAGUGUAGCGGUGAAAUGCAUAGAUAUUACACAGAAUACCGAUUGCGAAAGCAGAUUACUAACAAUAUACUGACGCUGAGGGACGAAAGCGUGGGUAGCGAACAGGAUUAGAUACCCUGGUAGUCCACGCCGUAAACGAUGGUCACUAGCUGUUUGAUGUACAUUGGUACAUUGAGUGGCUAAGCGAAAGUGAUAAGUGACCCACCUGGGGAGUACGCUCGCAAGAGUGAAACUCAAAUGAAUUGACGGGGGCCCGCACAAGCGGUGGAGCAUGUGGUUUAAUUCGAUGAUACGCGAGGAACCUUACCAGGGCUUAAAUGUAGAUUGCAUUAGCUAGAGAUAGCUAUUUCUUCGGACUAUCUACAAGGUGCUGCAUGGUU